GGGCCGCUAGCUCAUCAGGUAGAGCACCACACUUUUAAUGUGGUUGUGGAAGGUUCGAGACCUUCGCGGCUCACCA
rnacentral:tRNA from 1 species